rnacentral:rRNA from 1 species
AACGAACGCUGGCGGCAUGCCUAACACAUGCAAGUCGAACGAGACCUUCGGGUCUAGUGGCGCACGGGUGCGUAACGCGUGGGAACCUGCCCGUAGGUUCGGAAUAACUCCCCGAAAGGUGUGCUAAUACCAGAUAAUGUCUUCGGACCAAAGAUUUAUGGCCUUUGGAUGGGCCCGCGUUGGAUUAGCUGGUUGGUAGGGUAAAAGCCUACCAAGGCGACGAUCCAUGGCUGGUCGGAGAGGAUGAUCAGCCACACUGGGACUGAGACACGGCCCAGACUCGUACGGGAGGGAGCAGUGGGGAAUAUUGGACAAUGGGCGAAAGCCUGAUACAGCAAUGCCGCGUGAGUGAGGAAGGCCUUAGGGUUGUAAAGCUCUCUUACCCGGGAUGAUAAUGACAGUACCGGGAGAAUAAGCACCGGCUAACUCCGUG